GGAGAGGUGGCCGAGUGGUUGAAGGCGCACGCCUGGAAAGCGUGUGUAGGUAACCCCUACCCAGGGUUCGAAUCCCUGCCUCUCCGCCA
rnacentral:tRNA from 1 species